rnacentral:rRNA from 1 species
GACGAACGCUGGCGGCGUGCUUAACACAUGCAACUCGAACGGAAAGGCCUGCUUUCCCUUGUGGAUUGCGGGUACUCGAGUGGCGAACGGGUGAGUAACACGUGGGUGAUCUGCCCCCAACUUGGGUAUAAGCCUGGGAAACUGGGUCUAAUUCCCGAUAGGACUGCAGGGUGGUGCCUGUGGUGGAAAACGAUUUUCUAGUGGUUGGGGAUGAGCUCGCGGCCUAUCAGCUUGUUGGUGGGGUAAUGGCCUACCAAGGCGGCGACGGGUAGCCGGCCUGGGAGGGUGGACGGCCACAUUGGGACUGAGAUACGGCCCAGACUCCUACGGGAGGCAGCAGUGGGGAAUAUUGCACAAUGGGCGGAAGCCUGAUGCAGCGACGCCGCGUGGGGGAUGACGGCCUUCGGGUUGUAAACUCCUUUCGACCGCGAGGAAGCCACCUGGUUGGAAGGGUGGUGACGGUAGUGGUAGAAGAAGCACCGGCUAACUACGUG